GUUUACUUGUGUGUGGAUGGUGUUCAGCACAAAGAAGAGGAGUUUUAGUAUGUAGAUUGUGUUCAGCACCAAGGACAGGACUGUUAGUGU
rfam:Branchiostoma floridae genomic scaffold BRAFLscaffold_247, whole genome shotgun sequence.